GUACUGUAGCAGGGGAGAUACCACGGUCAAGAAGGAUAGGUUCACCCAGGUCUAGGAUCAGCCAUUGCCCUCUUGGUUGUGCUAAGCCCUGCCAAUUACCCCAGUGUGGAAAUGUCAACUCCAUCAUUUCUGGUUCUGGAAGACUGCAUUUGUGCUAUUUUCUG